rnacentral:misc_RNA from 1 species
UUGACGUUUACUCGAUCCCCCGUAACGGGGCCCACCACUCAGAAGAGCGACACCCACGGCGGGCGAGUCUAGGGCCUGGCGGCGGGGGGAGAGGCGGCUGCGCCGUCCCCCGCCGAGGCAACGGGCCGGUAAGUUCACGAUGGUCUCACAGAGAGGCUCUGUAAUGAUCCCUCCGCUGGUUCACCAACGGAGA